rnacentral:rRNA from 1 species
GCGAUACAGGGUGACAGCCCCGUACACAAAAAUGCACAUGCUGUGAGCUCGAUGAGUAGGGCGGGACACGUGGUAUCCUGUCUGAAUAUGGGGGGACCAUCCUCCAAGGCUAAAUACUCCUGACUGACCGAUAGUGAACCAGUACCGUGAGGGAAAGGCGAAAAGAACCCCGGCGAGGGGAGUGAAAAAGAACCUGAAACCGUGUACGUACAAGCAGUGGGAGCACGCUUAGGCGUGUGACUGCGUACCUUUUGUAUAAUGGGUCAGCGACUUAUAUUCUGUAGCAAGGUUAACCGAAUAGGGGAGCCGAAGGGAAACCGAGUCUUAACUGGGCGUUAAGUUGCAGGGUAUAGACCCGAAACCCGGUGAUCUAGCCAUGGGCAGGUUGAAGGUUGGGUAACACUAACUGGAGGACCGAACCGACUAAUGUUGAAAAAUUAGCGGAUGACUUGUGGCUGGGGGUGAAAGGCCAAUCAAACCGGGAGAUAGCUGGUUCUCCCCGAAAGCUAUUUAGGUAGCGCCUCGUGAAUUCAUCUCCGGGGGUAGAGCACUGUUUCGGCAAGGGGGUCAUCCCGACUUACCAACCCGAUGCAAACUGCGAAUACCGGAGAAUGUUAUCACGGGAGACACACGGCGGGUGCUAACGUCCGUCGUGAAGAGGGAAACAACCCAGACCGCCAGCUAAGGUCCCAAAGUCAUGGUUAAGUGGGAAACGAUGUGGGAAGGCCCAGACAGCCAGGAUGUUGGCUUAGAAGCAGCCAUCAUUUAAAGAAAGCGUAAUAGCUCACUGGUCGAGUCGGCCUGCGCGGAAGAUGUAACGGGGCUAAACCAUGCACCGAAGCUGCGGCAGCGACGCUGAUGCGUUGUUGGGUAGGGGAGCGUUCUGUAAGCCUGCGAAGGUGUGCUGUGAGGCAUGCUGGAGGUAUCAGAAGUGCGAAUGCUGACAUAAGUAACGAUAAAGCGGGUGAAAAGCCCGCUCGCCGGAAGACCAAGGGUUCCUGUCCAACGUUAAUCGGGGCAGGGUGAGUCGACCCCUAAGGCGAGGCCGAAAGGCGUAGUCGAUGGGAAACAGGUUAAUAUUCCUGUACUUGGUGUUACUGCGAAGGGGGGACGGAGAAGGCUAUGUUGGCCGGGCGACGGUUGUCCCGGUUUAAGCGUGUAGGCUGGUUUUCCAGGCAAAUCCGGAAAAUCAAGGCUGAGGCGUGAUGACGAGGCACUACGGUGCUGAAGCAACAAAUGCCCUGCUUCCAGGAAAAGCCUCUAAGCAUCAGGUAACAUCAAAUCGUACCCCAAACCGACACAGGUGGUCAGGUAGAGAAUACCAAGGCGCUUGAGAGAACUCGGGUGAAGGAACUAGGCAAAAUGGUGCCGUAACUUCGGGAGAAGGCACGCUGAUAUGUAGGUGAAGCGACUUGCUCGUGGAGCUGAAAUCAGUCGAAGAUACCAGCUGGCUGCAACUGUUUAUUAAAAACACAGCACUGUGCAAACACGAAAGUGGACGUAUACGGUGUGACGCCUGCCCGGUGCCGGAAGGUUAAUUGAUGGGGUUAGCGCAAGCGAAGCUCUUGAUCGAAGCCCCGGUAAACGGCGGCCGUAACUAUAACGGUCCUAAGGUAGCGAAAUUCCUUGUCGGGUAAGUUCCGACCUGCACGAAUGGCGUAAUGAUGGCCAGGCUGUCUCCACCCGAGACUCAGUGAAAUUGAACUCGCUGUGAAGAUGCAGUGUACCCGCGGCAAGACGGAAAGACCCCGUGAACCUUUACUAUAGCUUGACACUGAACAUUGAGCCUUGAUGUGUAGGAUAGGUGGGAGGCUUUGAAGUGUGGACGCCAGUCUGCAUGGAGCCGACCUUGAAAUACCACCCUUUAAUG